UGCCAGCCGCCGCGGUAAUACGUAGGGGGCAAGCGUUGUCCGGAUUUACUGGGUGUAAAGGGAGCGCAGGCGGUUAUCUAAGUCAGAGGUGAAAUCCUACAGCUUAACUGUAGAACUGCCUUUGAUACUGGAUAACUUGAGUACUAGAGAGGGAGACGGAAUUCCAGGUGUAGUGGUGAAAUACGUAGAUAUCUGGAAGAACACCAGAGGCGAAGGCGGUCUCUUGGCUAGUAACUGACGCUGAGGCUCGAAAGCGUGGGGAGCGAACAGGAUUAGAUA
rnacentral:rRNA from 1 species